UCUUCCUCAGCCUCUGCUCCUCCACCCUAUAAUCUUUUUAUCACAUCCCCUCCUCACACCUGGUCCGGUUUACAGUUUCAUUCCGUGAGUAGCCCUCCCCCACCUGCCCAGCAAUUUCCUCUUAAAAAUGUGGCUGAAGCUAAAGGCAUAGUCAAGGUUAAUGCUCCUUUUUCUUUAUCUGACCUCUCCCAAAUCAGUUAGCAUUUAGACUCUUUUUCAUCAAAUAUAAAAAACCCAGCCCAGUUCAUGGCUCCUUCGGCAGCAACUCUGAGACGCUUUACAGCCCUAGACCCUAAAAGGUCAAAAGGCCGUCUUAUUCUCAAUAUACAUUUUAUUACCCAAUCUGCUCCCAACAUUAAAUAAAACUCCAAAAAUUAAAUUCCGGCCCUCAAACCCCACAACAGGAUUUAAUUAACCUCGCCUUCAAGGUGUAAAAUAAUAGAAAAAAGUUGCAAUUCCUUGCCUCCACUGUGAGACAAACCCAGCCACAACUCCAGCACACAAGAACUUCCAAAUGCCUGAACCGCAGCGGCCAGGCGUUCCUCCAGAACCUCCUCCCCCAGGAGCUUGCUACAAGUGCCAGAAAUCUGGCCACCAGGCCAAGGAAUGCCUGCAGCCCAGGAUUCCUCCUAAGCCGCGUCCCAUCUGUGCGGGACCCCACUGGAAAUCGGACUUUUCAACUCACCUGGCAGCCACUCCCAGAGCCCCUGGAAUUCUGGCCCAAGGCUCUCUGACUCCUUCCCAGAUCUUGGCUUAGCGGCUGAAGACUGACGCUGCCCGAUCACCUCGGAAGCCCCCUAGACCAUCACAGACGCCGAGCUUCGGGUAACUCUCACAGUGGAGGGUAAGUCUGUCCCCUUCUUAAUCAAUACCGAGGCUACUCACUCCACAUUACCUUCUUUUCAAGGGCCUGUUUCCCUUGCCUCCAUAACUGUUGUGGGUAUUGACAGCCAGGCUUCUAAACCUCUUAAAACUCCCCAACUCUGGUGCCAAUUUAGACAGUACUCUUUUAAGCACUCCUUUUAGUUAUCCCCACCUGCCCAGUUCCUUACUAGGACGAGACACUUAAACUAAAUUAUCUGCUUCCCUGACUGUUCCUGGAUUACAGCUACAUCUCAUUGCUGCCCUUCUUCCCAAUCCAAAGCCUCCUUUGUGUCCUCCUCUUGUAUUCCCCCACCUUAACCCACAAGUAUAAGAUACCUCUACUCCCUCCUUGGCGACCAAUCAUGCACCCCUUACCAUCUCAUUAAAACCUAAUCAGCUUUACCCCGCUCAAUGCCAAUAUUCCAUCCCACAGCAUGCUUUGAAAGGAUUAAAGCCUGUUAUCACUCGCCUGCUACAGCAUGGCCUUUUAAAGCCUAUAAACUCUCCUUACAAUUCCCCCAUUUUACCUGUCCAAAAACCAGACAAGUCUUACAGAUUAGUUCAGGAUCUGCGCCCUAUCAACCAAAUUGUUUUGCCUAUCCAUCCUGUGGUGCCCAACCCGUACACUCUUUUGUCCUCAAUACCUUCCUCCACAACUCACUAUUCCGUUCUCCAUCUUAAAGAUGCUUUUUUCACUAUUCCCCUGCACCCCUCGUCCCAGCCUCUCUUUGCUUUCACUUAGACUGACCUGACACCCAUUAGGCUCAGCAAAUUACCUGGGCUGUACUGCCGCAAGGCUUCACAGACAGCCCCCAUUACUUCAGUCAAGCCCAAAUUUCAUCCUCAUCUGUUACCUAUCUCGGCAUAAUUCUCAUAAAAACACACGUGCUUUCCCUGCUGAUCAUGUCCGAUUAAUCUCCCAAACCUCAAUCCCUUACAAAACAACAACUCCUUUCCUUCC
rnacentral:lncRNA from 10 species